rnacentral:rRNA from 1 species
GUAAUCGUGGAUCAGAAUGCCACGGUGAAUACGUUCCCGGGCCUUGUACACACCGCCCGUCACACCAUGGGAGUGGGUUGCAAAGAAGUAGGUAGCUUAACCUUCGGGAGGGCGCUUACCACUUUGUGAUUCAUGACUGGGGUGAAGUCGUAACAAGGUAUC